rnacentral:lncRNA from 1 species
UUUUUUUUUUUGUCUUUUUGCCAUUUCUUGGGCUGCUCCCUCGGCAUAUGGAGGUUCCCAGGCUAGGGGUCUAAUCAAGCUGUAGCCACCAGCCUACGCCAGAGCCACAGCCACGCAGGAUCCGAGCUGCGUCUGCGACCUACACCACAGCUCACGGCAACGCCGGAUCGUUAACCCACUGAGCAAGGGCAGGGAUCGAACCCGCAACCUCGUGGUUCCUAGUCGGAUUCGUUAACCACUGCGCCACGACGGGAACUCCUGCAGCACUGUUUAUAAUAGCCAAGACAUGGAAGCAACCUAAAUGUCAAUCAACAGAGGAAUAAAGAAGAUGUGGUGUGUGUGUAUAUAUAUAUAUAUAUGUAUAUAUAUAUAUAUACACACACAAUGGAAUAUUAUUCAGCCAUAAACAAGAACUGAAUAUGCCAUUUGCAGUAACAUAGAUGGACCUGGAGAUUUUCAGGCUAAAUGAAGUAAGUCAAACAGAGAAAGACAUAUAUACAAUAGCAUAUGGAAUUUGAAAAGAUGAUACAAAUGAACUUAUUAACAAAACAGAAACAGACUCAGACUCUGAAAACAAACUUAUGGUUACCAAAGGGGAAAGGUGGGGGCAGAGAGUUUGGGACUGGCACAUGCACACUAUUGUAUAUGGAACUGAUGGUCAACAGGGACCUGCUGUAUAGCACAGGGAACUCUACUCAAUAUUCUGUGAUAACCUAUAUAGGAAAAGAAUCUAAAAAAGAAUGGUUAUGUGUAUAUGUAUAACUGAAUCACUUUGCUGUACACCUGAAACUUAAUACAACAUGAUAAAUCAACUUACUUCAAUAAAAUUUUUUAAAAUAUAUGUAUUUACAUUGUGUUUUGAAAGUACAUGUUUUCCCAAAUAUAAAGGAAGGACAUAUAAAGUUAAGAAGUCUCAAAAGAAGCCUUAACCAUUCAGACUGCAUUUGUCAUGACUCUUAAGGUAGCAAAUAAAAGCCCAUCUCAUAAAAGCUUGGACAGGAGUUCCUGCCGUGAUGCAUCAGAAAUGAAUCCUCGACUAGGAAACAUGAGGUUUCGGGUUCGAUCCCUGGCCUUGCUGGGUGGGUAAAUGAUCCGGCGUUGUCGUGAGCUGUGGUGUAGGUCACAGGCACAGCUCAGAUCCCACAUUGCUGUGGCUCUGACGGCGAUAGCUCCAAUUAGACCCCUAGCCUGGGAACCUCCAUAUGGCCACAGGUGCGGCCCUAAAAGGACAAAAGACAAAAAAAAAAAAAAAAAAAAAAAAAGCCUGGACAGGAGUUCCCAUCGUGGCUCAGCAGUUAGCGAACCCAACUAGGAUCCAUGAGGAUGUGGGUUCAAUCCAUGGCCUCCCUCAGUGGGGUAAGGAUCUGGCAUUGCCACUGAGCUGUGGUGUAGGUUGAAGACUCAGCUCAGAUCCUGUGUUGCUGCGGCUUAGGCCAGCGGCUACAGUUCCUAUUCGACCCCUAGCGUAGGAACCUCCAUAUGCUGUGGGUGUGGUCCUAAAAGACACAGCCAAAAAUAAAAAGAAAAGCCUGAACAAAAAGGAGGAUACAUUAGCUCUCUUAACCAGUCUGGGAAGGACAGCAAAUGAAAUUAAAUCAGAAUCUGUUUCUUUUCUCUACUUCUCCAUCCAUCUAUACUUCAUUUUCUCCUUUAGACCAGCUUCAUACUAAAGCAGAGAAAGAGACUCUUCCCUGAGAGACACAUUUUGAAAAUCCUAGUGAAAGCUUCUGAUGGGCCUGUUUAUUGGGUCAUGAUGGGUGAGUGGAGGGGAGGGUGUGACUGGAAGUCCUCACCGGAAUCCCUUUUUGGAUGCAGAAAGAAGCAGUUCUCCAUUAGAGGCAAAUGCUGGGCAUACCAGAAAAUGGAUGGCCAUUACACAGAUUAUUAUUUUUUAAUCAGCCAUAUCUGAGAAAACAGAUUAGUCUCUUCCCAUCUCUCCCACUGAAUGCAACUAAGUCCUGGAUGGUGUGCAUGUAGCAUCUGAGGGCUCUGAAAAGUAAAACAGUGCUAGCAGAUGGAUUAGGGAAAGAAAUCUGAAUUUGAAGAAUGAAAGCAUGACCAUGAGUUUUCUUGGGUUUUGUUUGUUUUUAACAAAAAUGGAAAGUUUGCUCUUCAAGAGAUACUGUCAAGAUGAAAAGACAAGCUACUGACUGGGAACAAAUAUUUGUAAACCAUGUUUUCAACAAAGGACUGUAUCCAGAAUAUAUAAAUAACUAAACUCAACAAGAAACAAGCAAAUGAGUAAAAAGUGUGAAAAAACACUUCAUCAGAGAAAACAUAUAGAUGGCAAAUAAGUACAUGAAAUUUGCUCAACACUAGUAUCCAUUUUGGAAAUACAAAUUAAAAUUACAAUGAGAUAUUACUACUCAUCUAUUAGUGUGGCUGAAAUUAAACCAAAAACUGACAAAUGCUGGGCAUGGAUGUAGACCAAAUGGAAAUCUUGCAGAUGGAAAUGCAAAAUGAUAUAGUCACUCUGGAAGAGUCUGACAGUUCUUAUAAAUUUAAACAAAAUUUACGGAGUUCCCGUCGUGGUGCAUGGUUAACGAAUCCAACUAGGAACCAUGAGGUUGCGGGUUCAAUCCCUGGCCUCGCUCAGUGGGUUAAAAUUUACGGAGUUCCCGUCGUGGUGCAGUGGUUAACGAAUCCAACUAGGAACCAUGAGGUUGCGGGUUCAAUCCCUGGCCUCGCUCAGUGGGUUAACGAUCCGGCGUUGCCAUGAGCUGUGGUGUAGGUUGCAGACGCGGCUCGGAUCCCGCGUUGCUGUGGCUCUGGCGUAGGCCGGUGGCUACAGCUCCGAUUCAACCCCUAGCCUGGGAACCUCCAUAUGCUGCAGGAGCAGCCCAAGAAAUGGCAAAAAGACCAAAAAAAAAAAAAAAAUUACUAUAUGCCUCUGCAGUUCUACACCUAGGCACUUACCCUGGAUAAAUGAAAACUCGUGUUUACACAAAAUCCUAUAAAAUAACGUUUAUAACAGCCUGUUCAUAUCACCAAAAAUUGGGCACAAUCUAAAUGUCCUUCAAUGUAUGAACAGUAUGCCCCAAUACAGUGGAACACUACUCAAUAAUGUAAACGAAUAAACCACUGCUACUCAGUAACAUGGAUGAAUCGCAAAGGCACUAUCCUGAGUAAAAGAAACCAGUCCUGGAGUUCCCGUCGUGGCUCAGUGGUUAACUAGGAACCAUGAGGUUGAGGGUUCGAUCCCUGGCCUUGCUCAGUGGGUUAAGGACCCAGCAUUGCCAUGAGCUGUGGUGUAGGUUGCAGAUGCGGCUCGGAUCCCAUGUUGCUGUGGCUCUGGUGUAGGCCAGCAGCUACAGCUCCGAUUGGACCCCUAGCCUAGGAACCUUCAUAUGCCGAGGUUGUGGCCAUAAAAAGGCAAAAAAAAAAAAAAACAAAAAAACCAAACCAAAACAAAAAAAGAAACCAGUCCAAAGGUUACAUACUACUGGAUUCCAUUGAUAUGAUAUUUCUUUCUUUCUCUCUCUUUCUCUCUCUCUCUCCCCACUCCCCUUCCUUCCUUCCUUUUAGGGCCACACCUGUGGCAUAUGGAAGUUCGCAGGCUAGGAGUUGAAUCGGAGCUGCAGCUGCCAGCCUAUACCAUAGCCACAGCAAGGUAGGCUCCAAACUGCAUCUGCGACCUAUACCACAGCUCACGGCAAUGCUGGAUUCUUUACCCACUGAAUGAGGCUAGGGAUCAAACCUGAAUCCUCACAGAUACUAAUCAGGUACAUAACCCACUGAGCCACCACGGGAACUCCCUAUGUGACAUUCUGAGAAAGGCAAACUAUAGGGAUGGGUAUUAGAUCAGUGACUACCAGGAGUUAGGAGUGUGGGCUGGAUUUUAUCACAGAGCAUGAAUGAUUUUUUGGAUACUGUCCUAUGUCCUCAUUGUAGUGGUGGUUACAUGAAUCCUAAAUUUGUGUUAAAACGCAGAAAUGUGUGUACACACAGAGAAGUUAAUUUCAUGUGUUAAUUAAAAUUUUUAAAGUGUCAAAAAUUAGUAAAAUAUAUUGGGUGGUUCACCUAAUUAGGAUUUUGUUCAACUGCAUUGAGAUAUAUAUAUAUGUAGAUACACAUAUAUAUCUACAUUCAUUAUCAUAACAGAAGCUCAAAUAAGAUAUUAUUUUUCUUUAACGCAAAAAGCAUCCUGUGUUCCAGGGCUAGAAUGAUGACUUCCUGGCCCUCAAGGAUCUUGCUCCUUCUAGCAGUGUGGUCUGCCACCCCUGAAGUAUGACACUCCCUCCCACACUCACAGUGCUUUGAGGCUGCUGGAGUUCAGCUGUUACAUCAGAGCUCCAGACAAGUUGGUGGAUGAAGGAAGGAAAAAGAGUUAUCUUUUCUUCCCUUUAGGAUUCUAACUGGAAGUUGUAUGCAACAUUUUUGCUUUUAUCUCACACGGACUAAAAUUUUCUCACAUGGCCAGAUCUAACUGCAAGGGAGAAGGGGAAUGUCAUUUAUCUGGGUGGCAGUGCAUGUUGGGUAGGGAUCAGGAAUCCAAUUCCAAGGAAGAAAAUGAGGCCAGUUUAAGUUUCUGCCACAGUCAUACAACUGCCAGCAAAUGCCAUGGACAGCUUCCCAAACUAAGUCUCAAAAUUGGUCCAGUACAGAUUCUGCUGCCCCUUACCCCCUACAUAAGUGCACCUAGAUCCUUCCCUGCACUGUAGUCAGUGUAGUCCUAAACAUUUUUUACCAGUCUCCUGGUGCUCCAUCUUUCUACUACUAUAGCCACAGUCUUCUUCUCCUGAGUCCCAGUCUGGCAAGGCCAAGUGUAAGGGGAGAGCCCAGGGCUCAGAAAAAGCUCGGAAAGCAAGCCACUGGCACUCUCAGUCUCUACAAGAGAAAAGAGACUCUGCUUCUCCUCAAGAUCCCUAACCUGAAGAACUCAAACAGACAAGAGGGUCAGAUGUAGAACAGCCUAAAAUAAUCUAGACUUUUUUACUCUUAAGUAUAAAUUUGUAAAUGCUGUAGUAGCGGUUUCAUCCAAAUGCUUUGGGAGCCCCGAGGAUAGGCUUCCAGCUCUGACUGGGGGUGCCAGGAAAGACUCUAUCCAAGGGAGCAUAUCCAAACUGAGUAGGAGUUUUGGGCAGAGAUCUUGGGUCUGUCAGAUUCUCAAGUCUGCCUCUGAAUCAGCUUACACUCUGUGAACAACCAUUAACACUUUUAUAUAAUGCUGCUCUAUUUUUGUGUAUUUUCAAAAGUAAAAAUGGGAUUGUUUCCUAUGGACUACUUUGCAAUCUGUUGUUUAAUUUAAUAAUAUUUAAUGAUUAUAUUUUUGUUUCAUCUACAAAAUCAUUUCUAAUGGUUGCAUUGCACUCCAUCAUAUGGAUCAUUUGGGGGAUAUGUUUUAAACGUUUAACACAGCAUGAGAAAGGCCAAGAAUACAAAAUGAAAUAUUGAUAAUCUUUUCAACAAAUGAUGUUGGGAAAACUGGAUCCUUAUGCAGAAAAAUAGAAAAGGACUCUUAUACCACACACAAAAGGCAACUCAAAAUGGAUUAAAGACCUCGGAGUUACCGUUGUGGCUCAGUGGUUAAUAAACCCAACUAGUAUCCAAGAGGAUACAGGUUCAAUCCCUGCCCUCACUCAGUGGGUUAAGGAUCUGGCAUUGCUGUAGGUUGUGGUAUAGGUUGCAGACGUGGCUCAGAUCCUGCUCUGCUGUGGCUCUGGCGUAGGCUGGCGGCUACAGCUCCAACUGGACCCCUAGCCUGGGAACCUCCAUAUGCCGUGGGUGCGGCCUUAAAA